UAAAAAAUUUGGCGGUAUUUUAGUCUAUUCAGAGGAACCUGUUCUGUAAUCGAUAAUCCACGAUGGACCUUACUUAAAUUUGUCAAUCAGUUUAUAUACCGUCGUUAUAAGAAUAUUUUAAAAGAAUAAUAAUUUUCUAAAUUUUGAAGUUAAAAAGUAUAUCAGAUCAAGGUGUAGCUUAUAUUUAAGUAGAAAUGGGUUACAAUAAAUAUAUUUAUAUGGAAAUGAAAAUGAAAAAGUCGUUGAAAGUGGAUUUGAUAGUAAAAUUAUAAAGAUUAAUAAUUUGAUUUUAGCUCUAAAAUAUGCACACAUCGCC
rnacentral:rRNA from 1 species